rnacentral:rRNA from 1 species
UACGAAGGGGGCUAGCGUUGUUCGGAAUUACUGGGCGUAAAGCGCGCGCAGGCGGCUAUCCAAGUCAGUGGUGAAAUCCUGGAGCUCAACUCCAGAACUGCCUUUGAUACUGAGGAUCUUGAGUUCGGGAGAGGUGAGUGGAACUGCGAGUGUAGAGGUGAAAUUCGUAGAUAUUCGCAAGAACACCAGUGGCGAAGGCGGCCCGCUGGGCAGUGGCUGACGCUGAGGCGCGACAGCGUGGGGAGCAAACAGG